CUGGCCUGGAGUCUGCAUGGGUCAGUGUCAGGGCGGGGUCUGCAGGGCCUCCCGUGCCCCCAGCUCACCCCUGCCCGGAAAGAGAGGCACUUCCUUCUGAAAGCCUUAAGCAUCUGCUGAAUGACCCACAUUGCUUGCUCCCCGGUGCUAACUUUUUGCCACGUGUUUUUCAGGAUAGAAAAUAUAAGCAAUGAAAAACCGUGUGUGUUUAACUCAGGUAUUGGAUGGAGGGCCUUCUACAAGAUGGGAUGGGGACACUUGAGUGAGGGCCAAGUUCAAGAAGAAGAGACAGUCUCAAAGGAGAGCCUCACAAUCAACGAAAAAAGAAGAGAGAAGACAGAGUGAGCCUGAGGUGACCUUCCCCUGCCCUACGCUGUGGCCCACAAGCCUGACUUGAGCCAGCUCAUCCACUUAGGAAAUGCAACCCCUGGCCAGAGCACGUCCACAAUGAGGACUGCCCCCAGCGACGCCCCACCCUGGACCCCUGUUUAGUGGUAGCCAAGCCAGCCCUUCCAGGAAUGAGCCAGGCUCAUCCCUCAGGGCCUUCACUCCAGUCUUCUCAUCCUUGGGUCGGGAGCGGUGAGCUCUUCCCCAGCCCGCGUCCCCGAAAGUCUCCCCUGGAAUGACCCUUCCUUCCUCCGAGAGGCUGCAGGCCUGGCCCCCCCAUCCUGUGGCACUGUCCCUUCUAGCACUCCAUGAGAAUCACGUGCUGUCCACCCUAAUCCAGGGGGCAGGCCUGCAGCACCCAGGAUGUGGCUGGCCUGUGGCAGGCUCUGCCACUCUGCGUGAAAGAUAGCAGCUCUCGGCUGGGCGCAGUGACUCACGCCUGUAAUCCCAGCACUUUGGGAAGCCGAGGCAGGUGGAUCAUGAGGUCAGGAGACCGAGACCUCAGCCGAGGUGGAUCAUCUGAAGUCACGAGUUAAAGACUAGCCUGGCCAACAUGGUGAAACUCCAUCUCUACUAAAAAUACAAAAGAUUAACUGGGCGUAGUGGUGCUCACCUGUAGUCCCAGCUACUCGAGAGGGUGAGACAGGAGAAUCACUUGAACCUGGGAGAAGGAGGUUGCAGUGAGCCAAGAUCACGCCGUUGAGCUCCAGUCUGGGCAACAAGAGUGAAACGGUCUCAAAAAAAAAAAAAGAGGGCCGGGCGCGGUGGCUCACGCCUGUAAUCCCAGCACUUUGGGAGGCUGAGGCAGGCGAAUCAUGAGAGACCGGUGAAACCCCAUCUCUACUAAAAAUACAAAAAAUUAGCUGGGUGCGGUG
rnacentral:lncRNA from 10 species